rnacentral:rRNA from 1 species
AACGGCUGCUAAUCCCGGAUAAGCCGAGAGGUAAAAGAUUUAUCGCCUACAGAGGGGCUUGCGUCUGAUUAGCUAGUUGGUGUGGUAAGAGCGCACCAAGGCGACGAUCAGUAGCUGGUCUGAGAGGAUGAUCAGCCACACUGGGACUGAGACACGGCCCAGACUCCUACGGGAGGCAGCAGUGGGGAAUUUUCCGCAAUGGGCGAAAGCCUGACGGAGCAAGACCGCGUGGGGGAGGAAGGUUUUUGGAUUGUCAACCCCUUUUCUCAGGGAAGAAGAAAGUGACGGUACCUGAGGAAGAAGCAUCGGCUAACUCCGUGCCAGCAGCCGCGGUAAUACGGAGGAUGCAAGCGUUAUCCGGAAUGAUUGGGCGUAAAGAGUCCGUAGGUGGCCCUUCAAGUCUGCUGUUAAAGAGCGAGGCUUAACUUCGUAAAAGCAGUGGAAAC